GGGUGCGAUCAUACCAGCACUAAUUCACUGGAUCCCAUCAGAACUCCGCAGUUAAGCGUGCUUGGGCGAGCGUAGUACUAGGAUGGGUGACCUCCUGGGAAGUC
rnacentral:rRNA from 1 species